AUUGAACGCUGGCGGCAGGCCUAACACAUGCAAGUCGAGCGGAGCGGCGGACGGAUGGGUAAUUCCUAGGAAUCUGCCUGGUCGUGGGGGAUAGCGUCCGGAAACGGGCGCUAAUACAGCAUCCUAUCAGAUGAGCCUAGGUCGGCUUAGCUUGUUGGUGGGGUAAAGGCCUACCAAGGGGACGAUCCGUAACUGGUCUGAGAGGAUGAUCAGGAACACUGGAACUGAGACACGGUCCAGACUCCUACGGGAGGCAGCAGUGGGGAAUAUUGGACAAUGGGCGAAAGCCUGAUCCAGCCAUGCCGCGUGGGUGAAGAAGGUCUUCGGAUUGUAAAGCACUUUAAGUUGGGAGGCGUUACCAACAGAAUAAGCACCGGCUAACUACGUGCCAGCAGCCGCGGUAAUUC
rnacentral:rRNA from 1 species